ACGAACGCUGGCGGCGUGCUUAACCCCUGCAAGUCGAACGGAAAGGCCCUGCUUUUGUGGGGUGCUCGCGUGGCGAACGGGUGAGUAACACGUGAGUAACCUGCCCUUGACUUUGGGAUAACUUCAGGAAACUGGGGCUAAUACCGGAUAGGAGCUCCUGCUGCAUGGUGGGGGUUGGAAAGUUUCGGCGGUUGGGGAUGGACUCGCGGCUUAUCAGCUUGUUGGUGGGGUAGUGGCUUACCAAGGCUUUGACGGGUAGCCGGCCUGAGAGGGUGACCGGCCACAUUGGGACUGAGAUACGGCCCAGACUCCUACGGGAGGCAGCAGUGGGGAAUAUUGCACAAUGGGCGGAAGCCUGAUGCAGCAACGCCGCGUGCGGGAUGACGGCCUUCGGGUUGUAAACCGUUUUCGCCUGUGACGAAGCGUGAGUGACGGUAAUGGGUAAAGAAGCACCGGCUAACUACGUG
rnacentral:rRNA from 1 species